rnacentral:snoRNA from 1 species
GGUGGAAGCUGCUGGGACUCGCCAUGUGGGCAAAUGAAACUCCUUUUGUCUGCACUUGCAGCCUUCCUAGAGUAAAGUGGAGGUCUCUGUCUGGUUUAGGACAGCUAGCUAAACCUGAUCGUUCCCCUCCGUACACU